rnacentral:rRNA from 1 species
UGCCAGCAGCCGCGGUAAUACGUAGGGGGCAAGUGUUAUCCGGAAUCACUGGGUGUAAAGGGUGCGUAGGCGGUACGAUAAGUCAGAUGUGAAAACCAAGGGCUCAACCUUUGGACUGCAUUUGAAACUAUCGAACUAGAGUAUGGGAGAGGAAAGUGGAAUUCCUAGUGUAGCGGUGAAAUGCGUAGAUAUUAGGAGGAACACCAGUAGCGAAGGCGACUUUCUGGAACAUAACUGACGCUGAGGCACGAAAGCGUGGGGAGCGAACAGGAUUAGAUA